GUCCUUGCCGUAAACUAUGUAUACUUGGUGUAACCGGAAUCAACCCUGGUUGUGCCGUAGCUAACGCGAUAAGUAUACCGCCUGGGGAGUACGCUCGCAAGGGUGAAACUCAAAAGAAUUGACGGGGACCCGCACAAGCAGUGGAGCAUGUGGUUUAAUUCGAUGCAACGCGAAGAACCUUACCCAGACUUGACAUACAGUGGAAGUUAGCAGAAAUGUUAACGCCCUUCGGGGCCGCUGAACAGGUGCUGCAUGGCUGUCGU
rnacentral:rRNA from 1 species